rnacentral:lncRNA from 1 species
CCCCACCGCACUUCUCUCGGCUUCCCCGCCUCCCUCAUUCUCUCCUGCCGGAAGUGCCUGGAAGAGCUUCCGGGUGGGCGCGGGUCUGAGGCAGCGGCGGCGGCGGCGGCUGCUGCUGGGGCGGUUGGAGGGGCAGCGGGGCCAAGCUGGGGCCAAUUGCCAACGGCUUGAGGCGGAGGAGGGCGAGGGAAAGGCUGCCACGGGGCGAGGGAGCGAUGUAAGAGGCCAACGCCCAGUAC